AACGCACGAGACCUGCGGACCUGCGGAAGGAUCAUUACCGAGUUUACAACUCCCAAACCCCUAUGUGAACGUUACCAAACUGUUGCCUCGGCGGGAUUUCUGCCCCGGGCGCGUCGCAGCCCCGGACCAAGGCGCCCGCCGGAGGACCAAAUUUACAAACUCUUUUGUAUAUCCCAUCGCGGAUUCUUUACAUUCUGAGCUUUCUCGGCGCUCCUAGCGAGCGUUUCGAAAAUGAAUCAA
rnacentral:misc_RNA from 1 species